CAUUAUUAGGUGCUUCGUAGCCA
rnacentral:siRNA from 1 species